rnacentral:rRNA from 1 species
UACGUAGGGUGCAGGCGUUAAUCGGAAUUACUGGGCGUAAAGCGUGCGCAGGCGGUUUGCUAAGACAGGUGUGAAAUCCCCGGGCUUAACCUGGGAACUGCGCUUGUAACUAGCAGGCUAGAGUGUGGCAGAGGGGGGUGGAAUUCCACGUGUAGCAGUGAAAUGCGUAGAGAUGUGGAGGAAUACCGAUGGCGAAGGCAGCCCCCUGGGCCAAUACUGACGCUCAUGCACGAAAGCGUGGGGAGCAAACAGG